UAAGAUUUUGUGUUUUUGCAGUGUUUCUCUUAUAGUUUUCAGCAUACAGCUGAAUUUUCUGCAUUUUUCCCCACUGAAUAAAUAUAAUUUAAAAACACACCUCUGGGUUCUUGAAGGGGCUGGUUGCUCAUUGAGUGGAAACUGAGUGGAACCAGUGAGACUGGCUGAGUUUUGUGAGUAAAGCUGCUUUGCAUGGCUGGCUCCAGUUGGUUUCUUGUUCCUUUUAUUUAUAGAAACCCCAGCUCUUCGUCGUCUUGCUUCACACUUUGAUGAGGUAAAACUGAGGUUUAGUUGCGGUUGAGUUUUGCAUUCAUCUUGUUCCAAAACGUGCUUGCAAGUGUGUUUUCACGCAAACUAAAACGCACCCAAUGCACCGAAAAAUCAUGCAAACGCCGAGGCCAGAUGAUUAAAGGCAUCAGAUGAUGCAGACGGACUGGAUCUACUCUUCAUCCUGCCGGGGGGUCAAAGCAAACAGAAGGUGGUUUAUACCUACAGAAUCCUCCAGGCGCACAACGGAAACUACACCCUGCUGACAGCAGGAGGUUUGCAGGAGACAUAUUUUAAGACUCUGGCCGAUUUAAUCCGUAACUACAAGAGGAAGAACCAAGGUCUGGCCAUUCAUCUGCGCCACUCGGUGAAAAAGAAAACGCCCAUGUUGAUCCAGCCGCCGAGGAGACCAGAAACACAACCUGAAGCUCCGGCCACACCGCCAGCUAGAAGAUCGGCUGGAGGACCGGCCGCAGCGUCAGCCAGAGGAUCGGCCGCAGCGUCAGCCAGAGGAUGGGGCGGCGCGUCGGGCGGACACUCAUUGCAGAGAGGAGCUGCUCCUUUACCUGAAGAGGAAAAUGAUUAUGAGAAUGAUCCAAAUUCAGAUUAUGUGGAAGUUAUUCCAGAUUAACUCAAGCCAACCUCAAACCGAAGGACAACAAGAACACAGACUGAACUUUGUUUGGCAUUAGAGAUGUUUUAUUUUUUUAUGCGAAGCCCUGAGGAGAUUUGUUGCAUUUGCACAAUUUAGGUAAAACAGACUGAAAAGGUGAGCUAAUGCAGAGUGAGUUUCCUCCCAGCUAUUGACUCUGAAUGAGAGGAUGAACUUCUGCAUUUUCUUCUCACCUCAUUCCUGUGAGCGCAGAAGAGGAAGAAAGAGGAAGAGGAGGAGAAGUACUGCUCUGAAAUCACAAAAGUUGUAUUUAGUUUGACAUUUUGUUUUACUCCUGGCAGUCGAAACCUUGAUAUUUAAUAUUCAUUUCAUUUUAGUAAUACAGACAUUUUUGUGCUGUUUGUUCUGAUGUUCAUAAAAUAAAUCUUAUCUGAACGUCA